GACGAUAAGACCCUAAAAGCUUUAUUUUGUUCAAAUAUUUAUAUUGUAGUUAAAUAAUUUUACUGGGGUAGUGACUUUUUAUAUAUUGAAGUUUGAUAAGCAUUAAAGUGGAGAUAGUUCUUAUAUAUAAUAAAAAAUUGAUUAAGUUACUUUAGGGAUAACAGCGCAAUAAUUUCGGAAAGUCCAUAUUUAUGAGAUUGAUUGCGACCUCGAUGUUGAAUUAAAUAAUCUUGGUAGAGCAGAAGCUAUUUAAGAGGGUUUGUUCAACCCUUAAAUUUUUACAUGAUCUGAGU
rnacentral:rRNA from 1 species